rnacentral:rRNA from 1 species
UGCGUAACGCGUGAGCAACAUGCCCGUAUCAGGGGGAUAAUCCAUGGAAACGUGGUCUAAUACCCCAUAGUAAUUAUGUAAAGGCAUCUUAUAUAAUUUAAAGCUUUGGUGGAUACGGAUUGGCUCGCGUGACAUUAGCUGGAUGGUAAGGUAACGGCUUACCAUGGCUACGAUGUCUAGGGGUUCUGAGAGGAAGGUCCCCCACACUGGAACUGAGACACGGUCCAGACUCCUACGGGAGGCAGCAGUGAGGAAUAUUGGACAAUGGAUGGAAAUCUGAUCCAGCCAUGCCGCGUGCAGGGAAAGACGGCCCUAUGGGUUGUAAACUGCUUUUGUAUGGGAGCAAUAAGGGCUACGUGUAGUCCGAUGAGAGUACCAUACGAAUAAGCACCGGCUAACUCCGUGCCAGCCGCUGC